GGGGAGGCGGAGGCAGGAGGUUCACCAUGAGUUUGAGGCCAGCUUGGGCUACACAGUGAGUUCAGGACCAGCCUGAACUACAUAGUGAGACCCUGUAUCAAAAAAUAAGAUAAAGUAAAAUAAAAUUUUUAAAAAUCAUAAUUUGCAGUGUUGGGAUUGACUAGCUAUUACAUCUUUUCAUUGAAAUGAGAAAAGUGCAUAGUCUCUUAACUGAAUUUUCUUUUUUUUGACAUUGUGCUCAAAAUUUGCACUUUAUAUUUUGUAAGUUUAUUUUUCUUAGAUAAAAUUUUAAGUGCUAUCUCCUUUGAAUAUGUGUGACUUUUUUUUUUUUUUUGUAUUCUGAACUCAUUAAAACUGGUCCAUGCUGUGCACUCAGAAGUUGUACUCACCAUGACUGAAAAUCAGUCAUAGUCUACCAGGUUUGUGACAAGAUCUGUUCUUUGCAGUCAGGAAUUUCAAAGAAUUUUAUUUUUACUAAGAUGGGGAAUUGGCUAAAGAAUAAAGACGAGCAGGGGAUCAAAAAUAAAUCUUACAGUUUUAAUCUUUUGUUAAUCUUUUAAGCCAUCUAGAAAUACUUUAAAAAAAAAAAAACCUUGAAACUGAUCCAGAAAAAUUAACCCCUUCACUACUAUCUGAAAAAGAGAAAUUUGCCUUGAAAGGGAUUUUUUUUUUUCCCCAUUUUUGUUCUGUAGCUUCUGUUUGUAGUUAGGCUUAACGCCACACAUGAAAAUGAUUUGAGCACAUUAAUCACGUGAGAAUUCCUUUCACCCCUGCUAAGCUAAAGCUGUAAGAAAGGUGUUAAAGAAAACAAGACCCAACUCCAUUUAGAGCAGCAGUGACUAAGACCAAUGAAAGGAAAUUAAAAAGUGGCAGAUUCUAUGACCACAAACCUACCAAUGAGGAGUGAAUGUCCUGGGAAGUGGAGUUAUCUAUCGCUCAUAUAUCUAAGGUGCUAUAAAUGAGAAAACAGCCUGAGACCAAGAAUGAAGAAAGCAGCUACUUGUCCAUCUUGUAGCAGAUGUUUGACCAGAUGGCCACUGCAUGGCCUUUGUUGAGAAGAAACCACCUGGCUUUUAAGGAUUCUACAGAAAUCAAGCAAUGGAUCAACAAGUGGAGAAAAGCACCUGUUAGAGAUGAGGAUCCACACUAGCUGCUUUGAGCUUGAAGAUGCAUGGCACAGUUGCUGUCUUCAACCAACCACUGAUUUAAAUGAAAGAUAAGAUGUAACAGUGGACGUUUUUCCUUGCUUCCCUAAUGUCUCUUGGGAAACCACGUUUCAGCAAUUCCUAAGUCAUAUGUAUGUGGCAGCACUAUCUCCAGAUCGAGGCCAUAAUUCCCAGGCCAAAAGCCAAGGACAAAGGGAUGGGUCAGUAGUACAAGUUGAGCCCAAAUAAAUAGCCCUACAUCUUCCCAGAGCUGUGACGAAGAGGCUCCAGUCUGUAGAAUGAGUCUCCAGCACCAAGAGUAUAGGGAGGAAAGGAAAGAGAGAAAGGAACAUUGGUUAGAUUGUGUUGUUGGAGCAUUGAUACAGCCUUGCCUGAAGUUCCCUGGAUUUCCCUGAAGACCUUGGGCUUUCCAGGUACAUGAUACAUAAUCUUCAUCCCCUUUUUUUCCUUGAGCCAGUGUAAGCUGGGUUUCUCUCCUUGUCAGCUGAAGAGCCCUAAGAAUUGGUACUUUACUUUAGUCAACUGGAAUGGCUUCUUAGACAGUCUGCUACCAUUCAUCUUCCGGACAUCAAGCCCAGCUGAGGGUUUUGGCAAACAAGCCCAGCAUGAGUGUUGAUAAAUUUGCUGUAACUGCCAGACUUUUCUGCUGGCUAUUUUAAGGUUGAUGUGUUUUCAGAAGCUAGGAGAGAAACUGCUAGGACACUUAUUUGGUGACAUGUAGAUUAAUCUGAUCUUCACUAGCAAUGCCCUCAUUUGAUCACAAUAACCAUUCCUAAUAAGACAUCCCUCUGUCCUAUAAAAUCAGUUUUCUACCUGUGUGAAUGCGAUCCAGAGGCAAUAUUUGAGGCAGCAUUUGAUUCUUUGGCUCUUAGUAUAAAUAUGGGAUGUAACUGAAUAUGUGACUUAUAACUUCAGUUACCUUUUCCAUUCAUAAUUCUGUGUUAGAAACUGAUCUAUAAUCUCAGAUGAGUCACAGCUGGGAUUACUAAAAGAGAAAAUUCAGCCCAGGCUUAGGGUAACAGAAAAGACAAGAGAUAUUUUUGAAAUAUAUUUGAUAUUUCCAGGACCCUCACCUUCACCCAAGAUACCAACAUCCAAUGUUGCUCAGGAAUCUUACAUAUAAUGGCAUAGUAUUUGUGUAUAACCUACAUACAUCUUCCUGUAUAGUUUAACCAUCUCUAAAUUGCUUACAAUAUAUAAUCAAUAUAAAAUCCACAAAAUAGCUAUUAUGCUAUAUUGCCUAGGGAAUAGUGACAAGGAAACAUAGUUACUAGAGAAACAUAAAAAUAUUUUCAAUCCAUGGUUGGUUGAAUCCACAGAUACAGAAAACAUGGUUAUGGAGGGCUGACUAUAUUCAUUUUGUAAGUUAGAAUUGUAUUGAUGUUCAAUUAUAUAUUAGUCGGGAGUGAGAAAUAUACCAUAAUUUAGCCUCUGAAUAUUUUAAUCUAUUUCUAAAUGCCAAGCAAAGAAAUAAAAACUAAAAAAGAAACAGAAGAAAAAUGUAUACUACUGUGAGAAAUGUGGUCUAAAUAAAGAACAAGGAAAGACUAUACACUCUUUAAUCAUAGGAAUAUAAAAUCCUUCUUAUAAGAGAAUGUUCCAGAAGUGUGCUAAAGGUUUGUAUUAUUUUAUACAGAAAGAGGAGUCUUAAUUUUUUUUUGUAAACAGUUUGAGAUUUCAGAGUUGACUCCCUAAUUUAUUUAAAACAAGAAUUGCUUCAUGAAUUAGCCUCAAGCACUCCUCAGGAAGUUAUUUAUGUGGUACUUCACCAUGGCUGCAGGUUUAUAUCAAGCCACAACUGUAUAAACAAAGACUAUUAACCUACCGGCUGGAUUUAGCAGACACUUUAGUGUAUUUAAAUCUGCUGACAUUUCAAAUGACUAUGUCUCCAGAUUCUUCACAGAUCAACCACAGCAGUGACAAGACUAUUUCUGAGUAGCUCUAAGCCAAACAAUGUGUGUGUUCUAAACAAUGACCACUAAAAAAAUGAGGGCUGGUAUUCUGCUUUUACUCAAACUUAUGCUAAGUAUUUUCAGUGGGGCUGGAAGAGUAUCAGGGUGGCUCAAAAAUGAGGAAGGCUUCAGAUGGUCUUGAAGGUAAUGAUGUAACUCUUGCAUUUUUCCACAUAUAGCACAUAAUUAUUAGUAGUAAAUAAUUUAUUGGUCAACUGGGAGAUAAUUGUUUUUCCUCUUCUGUUUUCUUUCUUUGGUAAGAUUUUAGAUGAGUGGUAUUGUUUGGGACUGUCCUCCCUUCUCAUUGUUUCAGAGUGGAUCUCAGGAAGUGUCACUGAGGAGUGGGGACAUUUAGACAGGAGGAAAAAGAGCCAGUGAGAGGGGAUUUCCACCCAAAUGGGCAUCUGGGGCUUGGUCCUACCUGGAACCUUCGAGUAGCCUACAUGUCAGGACUUUGCCGGGAAGGAGCUAGGAAAUGGGGUAUUUACCCACAAAUUCCUUUUGUUGGUGCAGGAGUGUGCCUGGGCUUUGCAUUCUGGAGGAAAUCCCAGAGUGAGAAGGAGAAAAGGUUGGUGCUUUAAAUCUGAAGCUGUCAGCUGGCAAGGAAAGUGUCUAUGAUCCUUCCAAUGACUAGCUCAGAGGAAAUACCAAUGGUGCAUCAACAGGCUUGGAUGCGCUAGCCAUUUUUACAUAAAAAAAUGUUUAGGUUUGUCAUGAGAAAUUAUUUUUAUUUUCUCCAGCAGAAAGAGGAUCUUUUUGACUAUUUGCUUAAAAAAAGACUUCAGUGGAAUGAUUUGAGACAGGUUUUCCAGUUGUACGCUGCAACAACAUUAACAUGACAAAUGAACACAGAAGCCAAGUUAAAUUAUCAGAGUACUGCUGGGAAGCGAAAUAUUAUAAAGCCUUUAAACAUCAUCCUUUUGGAAUUUUUAAUAACUUGAAAAGAUGUUAAGUGAAAUGCUAACAUUAAGUGAAAAAAACAGGUUAUAGAACUGUACAAUUUCAGUUAUAUGAGAAAAAUAUUUAUGUAAGAAAAAGAAAGACUAGAAAAAAUAUGCCAACAGUUUUGUGAUUGGUUUCUUUCUCUGGGUGAUGACAUAAUGAAUAACUUUAUGACUUUCUAUGUUUUUCUUCAUUUCCCAAGUGUUCUACAAUGAACAAUUUGUACUAUAUUUUAAGAAGUAGAUGCAUGUUUUGGUUUGCUCUGUGCAAUCAGAUUAUAUGGGGAGUUUGCAAGAUAGACAAGUGGGCGCCCCAUAUGUACAUGUCAUGGCAGAGCAGCUUCUCUAUAAACAAUCAGAUAUUCUUGAGCUUGAUGAUCUGAACAUGAAGACAGCUGGAUUACUCAGUUCUAUUUUUGCUGCCAGCUCCCCAGGGCAACCUGGUAAUCUGUGGGUGCUCAUUUCAAGAUUAGGUACUGAGCUGCUUCAUUGUAAAAGACCUCAAGGGCAGUGCACAGUACAGUAUCUGCCAGCAAGACUCUGGUCAGGGCUACAGGAGGCGGUGGCUGCCUGGGUGGGUCAGAGGAGACCACCGGGGAGGCAGGACUUUUGUUCUUUUGGGGUCAAGAUGACGAACACAUCCUGGUUCACAGUUACAUCAGUUUAUUGUCCUCAGUUAACAGCCACUACAUCUAGUGGUAGCCAUAGGACAGAACAUUCUCAGUCCCAUCUGAGAAUAAGCAGCACUAAGAGAAGUAAAGGAAUAAAAUCAGAUAAUCCUUAAUGAGACAAUAUUCCAGAGGGACGGUCCAUUGGAAAAGACUGACCAUAUGAUGAAGAUAUGAUUAAAGACCAUCAUCACACUCAGGUAAAUGUGUACUAUGAGUUCAGGGGAGGCCAAGGAAGGAAAUUCAGAAAAAAAGUUAACAUAGACUAGAGUGGUUGAAAAAAGUUUUCUAGAGAAGGCAAUGCUUUGAAUAAUGGUUUUAUUGUAAAAUGAUUUGAAAGUCCACCUAAUUCAGGAGUGUUUAGUGUUUUGAGUGAUGAACAGCCUGAGUAUCUAGAAUUUUGAUCCUGUUCUGCCCCAGAUUCUCUGUAUGUCAUCACUGGGAAUAUGUUUCCUGGCCUAUAGAAUACCAGUGUCAACAACUACCUGCCCUACAAGUGUGGUAGGAUGAGUCAUGGAUGGUAAACAUACUAGUUGAACUUAGUGGUGCUGUUACCAAAGGCUUAAAAAUGUGAGACAAUUAAAUAUAGACCUAGGCAACAGUGGAUUCUUAAGAUAAAUGAUAAUGAUCAAAAGCUCAAAGUCUGCCUGAAAUGGUGUUCACCUUCCAGUUGAGUCAGGAGGGAUUUCUCUGCUGAGGUAUCCUAGUUACAAGCUGAAUAUAGAGAGGUGGAAUCAGCUGAAAAGUAGUUAUUCUGUUCCUGGAGUGGGCUCACUAAGCUGGGUAGUAUGAGGUGAAUUUAAAACAUCAUUAACAAGAGUGCUGUUUGGACGAGUUUGUAGCGCUCAAACCUGAACUGAAAGCUAUACAUCCUCAGGAGUGCAGGCAAUCAGCUAGAUUCGUAUCAGUUAACACAACCCUCAGGAACAAUGCCAAGAGAGGCUCAUCUAACCAAAAGAUUGGAUUCAUCACUGAACACACCAUGUCUCAGAAUGCAAGACUCCCCAUACAGUCACUUGUUCUGUUAAUGUGAAAUGGAUUCAGUUGAACAGGGAAGCAGCACACCAAAAGCAAGCAAACAGAGCACUGGCCCCGAUUCACACCAAGAACACGUUUUCCUUUAAGAUGGGCUCUCUGAUAGUCUGGCUAGGCCCUGCCUGUGUGCAUCACCAGUUGAAUACCCAUGGUGUCAGCUCUCUUACCCUGUAGGACUGGAGCAGUACUGUGAAAAAAACAGUAAGAAGUCAGUGUUUAUUUGAUCAGUCAUGGACACCAGGAAGGCUGUGUGGCAGUUUUGCAAGCAGAUACUAUUUUUUACGAGGUUAAAAACUACCUGAUAAGAGACCUUAUGGUAAACCUGCAAUAGAAAAACAAUAAGCAAACAAUAAAACCAAGACCACAGGAACACAGUAAUAACAUUUUGAUUGAGGUGAUAUUUGCAGCACUUUUACAAAUAUUGACUCACCAAAGAUGAGGCCGAAAAAUAAACCUGGUUUAUAUUUGAGCCAACCACACAAAGCAUUUGGAGUACUCCCUUAGCGAGCUUCUCACUGGCCCUGGAAUCAACCCUAGAAACAAGCACUCCUUCAUAUUCAACCUCCAUCUGCCACUGCAGAAUCUCCCACACCCUGUCUAAAUUCAUCACAGUCCUUCUCUGGUGGCUCACAGCAGCCUUGUCUCCAGUGGCUGGAGAAAUGAUGAAUAAAGAUCAGUUACAAGUGAUGACAUAUGCCCUUAUAAAAACAGUAAUUCCAUUUUAAUAUGUUUGCUUCUCCUCUCCCCUUUCUGUUUGCACUAAAAGAACCUGAUGUAAAGUCCUCUCUUUUCUUGGAAAACUUUGCUUAUCAGGGCCUUCUGCUACAUGGAAAGACAAAUUAACAUUGCUUUGUUAAACAUCAUACUAUGGGAAUGGUAAACCAAAAAACAAAUUGCACAAGAACAAGAAAGAGGACAAAAUUGAAAAAGAAGGUGUUUUGGAGGAAGUGAUUUAUUGUUGUUUUUUUUUUUUUUUUGGAACUGGGGAUAGAACUUGGGUCCUUGUACUUGUGGAGCAGGCAGUGAAACCACUGAGCUAAAUCCCUGGCCCCUUGGAGGAAGUGAUUUAGUAAAGAGGAGGUUCUCAUGUAGCAAAGGAGGCCUGGGGGUGUUUGGAGAAAGAAAUGUGCUCCUCACUCAAUUCAGGGACCCAUGGAAGCUCCAGUCCUUAGAGGACAGGGUUGCAUGAUGUGCCUGAGCACAUGGUGACACACUCUCCAGUUCCCACACCCUGCAGCAAUUGUCUGUCAGGCAUCUAUCCUCUGGGAUGUGUGUGUGUGUGUGUGUCUCCAUAGGGGCUUCAAAAUAGAAAUCAGCCUUGUCUACAGAAAAUAGGGAGAGGUGGGCUGUCCAAAAAGAGCAGCUGCUCUAAGCAUUUUCAUCCCUGACCCACACCUGAGUGGUCCAUCAAUGAAACUGUUAUAGAAUCUUUGCCUGGCACACUCAGGGGCAGGUUCACAUUCUGCUGGCUGAAAUUUAUUUAAUCUGGGGGACCUUCUUCGAAAAAAAUUAUAAAUAUAAAAUUAACUAGAGAGUCUUGGAAAGAACCAGUGCAACUGAAGAAAG
rnacentral:lncRNA from 1 species